rnacentral:lncRNA from 1 species
CCCAGCUCCACAAGGAGGUUUGCUCUCUGCCCUUACAUUUCUGGCUAUGAUGACAUAUGUGGCAAACAACCGGAGACAGGAGACUGAUGAUGGACCCAAGGAAUGUGAAGGCUCUCCCCGAAGACACUCCUGAAAGCAGCUCCAUGGACCCUAAGAAGUACAUAAUUCAAGAGUGUCUUCUCAAGAGAUCUGCCUCUCAUUUCCCUGGCCUGCUAACAGCAGGAAGCAUAUCAUCCCUGGGCUCGAUGGAAAUGAG